rnacentral:lncRNA from 10 species
CAGAUUUUCACUCCAGAACUGACUUUGCUGCAGAGGAGUGAGGAGAGCUGCCUGGCAACGCAACGCAUCGCUGUGCAUAAACUUUGUUUACAGCCAAGGCUGGAGUAAAGGAACAGAUGGCAAGAAAAUCGGAUUUAAAGAAAGGAAGGAUGUGCUUGCAUCUGGGAGCUCGGUAAAUCUCUUGGCUUCUGGUGUGCGUACAAGGGUGACGUCUAGCUACCCCAGCAGUCGCGUCCCAGUUUGCUGUUGAUUUUUGCCUGUUUGGAUCUGUCUCUGAGGAUGGUUAAUACAUCUUAUUACAAGCAUUUAGGAAUCUGUUGGUGGGAGAAUUCCUGGAUGUUUCCUACAAGCAGAUGGCAAUGUUCUCUUAGUCUCAUCGGAACCAGACAGAGAAGGGGACGGUGGAAAAAGGACUGAUAGAGACAAAGCACAUCUAGCCAACCAGUCACCCUCUACUUCUAAAGACUUUUGAAAACAAGAGUAUUGUCAAGAAUUAUUUAACAUUAUUAUGAUACUAUCAUUAUAAUCAAGGAGUGGGCUGUUGAGAGAUUUCAUCUUCAUUCAUUUUUUCAACAAAUGUUUGGUCAGUGCCUAGGAUGUCAAGUACUGGGCUAGUUGCUUAUUUUAUAAAGAUG